GCUAAGUUUAUUCAAGAGCCUUUCGUGAGGAAAUCUGUCAAAAGCUUUUUGGAAGUCCAAGUAUACUAUGUCAACCGGAUCACAUUUAGCCACAUGCCUGCUGACACUCUCAAAGAACUCCAAAAGGACUUCCAUUUUCUGGAGGAAUUCUUCUCUUUAAUGGCUUCCCUGACCCUACCUGUUAGGCCCACUGGUUUCUCGUUAACUUGAAGGCAGAGCUCCAUUGGUGGAAUUUGUAGGCAGCCACCCUCAGGACUGCAGCUGCAUGAGCAAGUGAACUUUCUAC